ensembl:lncRNA
CACACACGCAGGCAAAACACCAAUGCACAUAAAAUAAAAGUAAUAAAUUACAAAAUAAUCUACGGUAGGUUGGGGGGCUAAGAACCAAGGGAAAACAUGGAGACAACCAUGGCCUUCCAAAUUCACCCCCGUCCAUGGAAGCUUUCCAUCACUGCAUUCUUCCUGCUGAUGACCCUCUUUGUGAAAUCAGCAGUAACUGUCUUCUCCACCAGUGGAUACCUACACAGCAUCACUGGCAUCUUCAGAGUUCUAAUAGUAGUGACUUAAUGAGUCUUUUCUCGAGAGAGCACUAACCCUUGAACAAAGUGAGCAUCUUUUACACACAUUUGUUAGUAAUACAGUACCGUUACUGAAAAGGCAAAGCAUGCAUUGGCCACCCAAACAAUGUUAUUAAAUCCCGUCCAGAUCGUGCCUGCUGCCAGGUGAAGUCACAGGGGCUAAUUUUAAGAGACAGAGACAGAAAGAGACAGACAGACACUGAUUGCUGCUGUUUGAUUGAUCAGAAGGCCUGAAGGGGAUCUGGUAAGCGCGAAUAUGUUUCUUAGUCUCCAUGACAUUGUCGUCAAGUGUGCUCCUCACAUCAACUGGGAGACACGUCUGGGAGACAUCAACCUUCUAACACUCUAGAGUUCUCUGUGCUUCUAAACAGUGCUAGAAGGAUCCCAAAUGCCUCAAACAUUUGCCACAGAAGUAGACCUUCAUCCAUGCUGGAGUUCUACCUAUUCCCCUGGAGGUGGCUGAAGUCACCAAGGAGAUAGGAUCCACUUGCCUUUCUCAGUGAGGAAAGCAGGAGGGGAGGGGAUGGGAGAGGGAGGAGAAAAGAGGAACAGAGUGAGCAAGACGGGGGUGAUGGAGGAAAAAGCAUGAGGUACCUGGCACACCGCCCUCCCCCCACCCCAUCCCGCUCCCAGGAGAAGCUGAAACAGACUGAAACUGGAUUCUCGAGUUCUCUGCAGGAUUAACUCACGUGCCCAGCGAGGGCACUGGGAAACACAGUGGCUUCCUGCUCACCCGUCCUGUCCCCAAGCAGCCUCUCUAUAUGGCUAGGCUAGGACAAAAAAUGUGCCAGUUGAAAACAGCAUGGUGGUCUCAAGGUAGUCUAGCUGUUGUGUCGUCUCAGGGUUCUCUGAAGAAGGCACAUCCAAAGAGAGCCAAUGAGGCUGCAAGACUGCUUGCAACUUGGAAGCAGGUACGUCUGUGCACCAUAUGCAUGCAGCGCCCAAGAAGGCCGGAAGAAGGUGUCAGAUCCCUUGAGACUGGAGUUACCGAGGGUUGUGAGCUGCCCUGUGGGUGCUGGGAAUUGAACCCAAGCCCUCUGCAAGAGCAUCCAGGCCUCUUAACCACUGAGCAGUCUCUCUAACCCCUAGGGGUAUUAAAUUUUAAACAUCAUUAUUCUACAAAUAAAAUUCAUUCAUUUUUCCAAAUAAGCAUAUAAACUUAAGCAAAUAAAAAAAAUUUAAAAAAUGAAUCACUGUCGUCCUGGGCUGGAACAGUGAAGUUUCUGUUUACUUGACCGGGAGUCUGCAGACACAGCUGUUUAGUUUUCUCCCCGUUGGCUGGCAACUCAGCUCAGGAAAGCUCUCAGUGUUGCUCAAGUGGAGAGCGGGGGAGCCAGACCCCAGAUGUCACAGCAGACAUAGGGGCUCAGAUACUGAGUGGGUUGGAUAGAUAAAUGAUUUGAGCAGAUGCCACAUUGAAGUCAAGAAGGGGAGCAACUGCCGUCCUAUUUGCUAUGGUGAUUGACAGUCACAAUGGGGCAGCCUGCACUGAGACUCAUCCCACGGACACUGACGUCAAUGAUGAUAGCUAACCAGAUACGGAAUGUUACACUGUGUCCCCAAGUUUACAGAAUGAAGGUGGAACGUUCCACUCCACCACCAUUUCUCCUGAUCUUCAAGGGCCUGUGGCCUUGUUCCCAUCCCCUGAUAUCAAAAUGAGCAAGAAUGAACAGCAAUCCGGCCUCACUCAGUUCUGUGUGUCAAACAGCCCAAAUGUCCAGGCUUCCAUAGCUUAAAAUAACAAAAUAAAG